rnacentral:rRNA from 1 species
AGUAGACGUUCAGAGUUUGAUCCUGGCUCAGGACGAACGCUGGCGGCGUGCUUAACACAUGCAAGUCGAACGGUGAAGCGCCUCCUUUUGGUGGGUGUGGAUGAGUGGCGAACGGGUGAGUAACACGUGAGUAACCUGCCCCUUCUUCUGGAUAACCGCAUGAAAGUGUGGCUAAUACGGGAUAUUCUGUGCCUGCUGCAUGGUGGGUGUGGGAAAGAUAUUGUUUCGGUGGGGGAUGGGCUCGCGGCCUAUCAGCUUGUUGGUGGGGUGAUGGCCUACCAAGGCGGUGACGGGUAGCCGGCCUGAGAGGGUGGACGGUCACACUGGGACUGAGACACGGCCCAG